GCCGCCUUAGCUCAGUCGGUAGAGCGUGUUACUCGUAAUAACAAGGUCAACGGUUCGAUUCCGUUAGGCGGCUCCA
rnacentral:tRNA from 2 species